GCCCGAGUGGUGGAAUAGGUAGACACGUGGGACUUAAAAUUCCAUGAAUGAUGAAUUCGUGUCGGUUCGAGUCCGACCUCGGGUA
rnacentral:tRNA from 1 species